AAACGACCUUAAAAUAUAGUGUUAACCUACAAAUGUGGGGGAGGAAAAAACAGUGUCUACAAAUUGAGGGGAGGAGAUAGAUUAUUUUAUUAAAAUACUGUUAACUGACCACAAUAUUGGUUUGCCUUUGCUAAUAUUUUAAAUGUAACAUUCAUUUUUGUAAACAAUUUCCAUAUUGUAGUCUCAAUUCUUGUUUUACUGGCAGGGAUUUUUUAUUGUUAAUUCUGAAUUCACACUAUUUAAAACAUAUACGUAAAACUUUUAAGGGGAAAAGGUUUUUAUUUGGGUGUUAUGCUUGCCAGUCUUGAUUUUUUGUUUUACCCAGCCCAUGAUAAUAGCCUAUGCUGAUCAGUCAGAUUGCUUAGUAACAGAUAUGUUUAUUUGAAUAAUUUACCUUUUUAAUAAAGGGAGGAAAGUGGUGAGAUACGGUAAAACUCUUGGGCCAUUAUAACUGACAGUGCUGGAUGAGUACUUGCUAAAUACUCACAGGCAAGUUGUUUGUGUUACACUAAAGAUAGUGAUGGAGCGGAUAGUGUUAUCAGGGAUACAAAACAUGACAGUUAUAAGCGCAAAGUUAAUUUUACAAAGGACUGAACAAAAAUACUGUCCUAUGCUCUUGCAACUGCAUAAAUUAAGACUGGACAUAAGACUUUGAUAGAGUACAAGAAAAUGGCAAGACCUCAGUUGGCAUGCUGGCAGCAAUCCACAUAGCCCAGAUUAUACUAUAAGGAAAUAAUUUUAUUAGUUCUGUUACAGAAUUAAAAAAAAUAGUCUUUUAUAAACUGUUGUUACCAUUAUAGUUGCAAGAAGGGAAAUAAAAGAAAAUUGCCUAAGAAGUUUGUAUGGUUUUACAGAAAAUGGGUGAUUUUCCUGCCUCUGAAGAAAGUUAGCUAAGAAAUCAGAGCUAUGAGCUCUGACAAAAUGUGACAACACUUGCUUGUAAAAAACAAAACCAAACCCUAAAAAAAAAAAGGGGCAAGCAAAAAACCCCUCCCUCCCAAGAAACAUUAUCCCACCCUUCCCACCUUUACUUUCAGUUACUUUUCAAAUGUUGUGGUUAACAGAAAGUUCUGGGGGUUGACAAGGAGGUCGGUUUUAAAAAGGAGCGAUGAGAUGUUGGAAAGAAACCCGAGUAGGAUAAAAAGUAUUCCUUAAACUUUUUUAAAAGCAAUCUAGUACAAAAAGACUUCUUGCUUGCUCUUCACUUUUAUAUGUACACAUGCAAAUUAUAUGUAUCUAUAAAUACAGAGAUUUACUAUGUGAAAUUAUGUAAAACCAUAGGGAAAGAUUUUCCUUCCCCCCAGUGUAAGGAGAAGGCUUGUUGCUAUAUGCAGCAAGUACCUUAUUCUAGAGAGCAGAAACACUUGAGAUCCUGGGGUGGGGUGCUACACCACUGCAGUACUAUAAUUUCCACUCCUUUUAUAAUAAGGAAUAAAUAGAAAAAAAGUCUUAAUUGAAAAGUGACUGUAAAUGUGUCUCUUGGGAAAAGUUAGUUCCUAUGCUGCUUGUCUUAAAUGCCUACUUAUGUGUUCUUACUACAGAAAUCCUUCAGAAAUCCUACAGCAAUCCUCCUUACUACAGAAAUCCUACUAAAACCUGAGCUGAACAGUACUUGUUUGUGUAGUAUCUGUAACAGUGGUCCUGUCCUUAGCAUGACCUGCUUACCUACUACUCUCAAAUUUGUGCAUUUGUGGGAAUAACACACCUUUGCAGUUAGGCAUUAACAGCCACACUUCAAGUUGCUCUCCACCUGUACAUUCCUUUAGGCCUGUGUGCAUUCUUCAAGGCUUCUGGCUCUCUUUAUGCGAUCUGCUGAGGUUAGAAAGUUCCUGUCAGUCUCUGUCCUUACUAAUAUUUCUGAGAGAACAUCUGGACUGACCCCACAGACUUUAGACCUACCUUUCUUGUUUCUGUUUCGGUACCUAGUACUCAGAUCCUUUCCUUUCGACCUCUGCGUCAUUUUGUUUUGAUUGCUUUUUAUAAAGGAUCCUAUCUGCCACUGGUGAGGAGGCAGAUUAGUUCCAGUGACUGACAAAGCUGAGUGUUCUCAAUAUACUGUGCAGAUGUACUCACUUGCCAGGCUCCAGGUUUCUCUUCUGGGUAAAUCUUCUUGUCAGCGUCGGGCCUUGAAUGCAACAUGCUGAAAACCCUUUAAUGGUGCAGGGAUUUUCUUCAGAAGUGGGGAGAUGCUGACUGUGUCAGCACUACCACUGUCCAGAACAAACAUGCACACAAUGUUUCUCUGAUAAGCCUCUUAACAUUUCUGUUGAAUUUGAGAGAAAUCAAAGGAAGAUCCCAAUUGGAAUUCAUUAGGUGAUAUACAUCAUUUCCUCUUAUCAAUCCAGCUCUAGUGCUUUGUUGUCCUGCAUGGAACACAAUGAAGCUUGGAGGUUUCAAGCUCUCAGGGCUGACAGUAGAAUUCAUUGCAGAAAGGCAGAGAUGAAUGUUGGGUUUUCCCUUUGCUACUUAAUGAGCUAGCCAGGGCUGUAGCAUUUAUUGCAUUUGCUAGCUGUGGUCAUAGGUUCAUUAAAGCUCGGUAGCUAUAGCAUCCCAAUGCAUCACUAGCGUCAUUUUUCUGAGUGAUGUCUUGAAGAUCAUAGAAUCAUAGGAUAGUUUGGGUUGGAAGGGACCCUCAAACGUCAUUUAGUCCAAUCCCCCUGUCAUGAGCAGGGACAUCUUGAACUAGAUGUGUCAGAAUUAAUUCUAUUAGCUCCAAUUUGACCAACAGAGUUCUGUUUUCUGUCAUCUUGUUUGCCAACAAGGAUCUCCAAGAUUCCUUUUCUUGACACUGGAUCUGGUCAUGACAUUUGGAUCUUUGUGUGCUGUUUAGUGGUUAUCCAGCAGAUUGGUGGAAUCUGUCUAAUUGGAGGUUGGGAGGGAGUUUACUUGUUAAGAAAAAAGUACUUAUAAAAAUGUGCAAGAUCUUGCCUGUAAUUGUCCAUAAGAAGAACACAUACCAACUUACAUGAGUGAAUUGUGCUUUUUGGCUUGACAUUUAUGUAAGGUUAUUUUUACCCCAAGGCCUCCAUUCCAGUUAUUCAAGAACACUGCUUAGAAUUGAAGUCUAGUGGCUUCAGCCACUUUGAAUCAGUAGGCUCAGCUCUGUAGAAGUAGUUAAAUGAUAUCCAAGCUAUUGGUGACAGGCCAUCAUGCCAGAUGCUACCUGAUGUUGGUGCUGAAGUUCUUGAAUUACUUGGUUGAAGUGUUUCUUCCAUUUUGAUGAACAAGUCCACAGUGACUCUUGAGCUUUGUCACAAAGUAUGAUUCAACCCAUUGAAAUAAAUGCCCAUAUUCAUGCAUCUUCUGUCCAUGAAGGUAAAUCUUUCUGAUGACAUUCAUGUCAGGAGGGCUUCGUGUGCCUGUAUAGCAAGCAGUCUGAUACGACUUCUGGCCUUAUGCUAAGUUUUCAUCUAGGACUGGGGCAAAGGUCUGUAAUGACUGCGAAAUCCACUAUGGUGGGAUUUAUUCCCCCAAAACGUGUCUGUGUUCUGGGAUGUUUAUUUCUUUGCUCAGAAUAGUGUAUGUAGCAGGCUUAGGCUUGCUUCACCUUGCAGACACCUACCUCCGCUGGAUUGGUAUAGAAAUCUGUGGUAAUUUGUGCUUCAGCUCUUUGAAAUAGGGUAAUAAUCUCCACAUCAGGCAGCAGUUCAAGUGGACUUCAGACUGCUUGUCUGCUGCAGAACUGAAAAGGUAGCUCCACCAGUAGCGAUGAGAGCACUAGGCUAUAUUUAUAGCCUCCUUCUAAAAUCAUUAAUUCCAGAUGUGGCAGAGUUGGCCCUCUUAUCAAAUGCGACAUUGUUAUAGGCUGUAUUUGUCUAGUUGCUUUUCAUGUGUGUUUCUGAGACCAGCUUGAAGGUGAAUGAACAAUGUGCGCAGUAAAAAAACUACUUUUCCCCUCCAUGGGCAUGUGUGCACAUAUUAGGAUUUUAUUAUAUUUUUUUUUUUUUUUGGUGCGGUGUUUCUCUCUCUUAUUCUGCCAUCUUUUUCCUUAUUCUGAUAGUCUUUUGCAUUUGCACUUCAGUAGUUGGAAAGAAAUGAAGAAAUAAAACAGGGUGUAUACAUGCUGACUGAGUACUACUUGUAUAAAAAUCUCUGAUGUACUUGACAUACAUUUCCAUCCACAAUACAUUGUGAAUUUACUGUAAGUAACUUCUCUUGAGCACUCAAGAAGGGAUGACUCUCAGCUCUCUAGUUCUUCUGGCUCUACAGCGCUAUGGGACAGGGAAAAUUAGUGAAAACUUGCCUUGCGUUAAAAUAAGAAGUUACAGAAUCGAUUUACAUGUUUCAUGCUUUAGAAAGCUAAAUUCUUGUCCUUCACCAGAAGUAACUGGGUUGGAGAACUGCCAACUAUUAUGGAUUUAUCAGGAACGCCAUCAUUAUUUUGGUUCCUUUUUUAAAGAGCUUUUACGAAAAAGGAAUAAGCUUCCAAAAAUCAGUUAUGUUUGCCUGCACAAGUUCCUCAUACCGUAGGAAGAAAACAUGGACUUAAUCAGCUGUUAGAUUCUUCCAGGACUUCUCCAACAAAUACUUCUUUUUCUUAUGUUUAAUAUUAGCAGGAUUUAGUUUUCAAUUUCUGUGCUCUUUAUGGUUCUGGUUUCUAUAUUCACUGAAUUAAAAUGACCAAAAAAAUGAGAAGAAAAACCCCCAAACAACUAAACCACGAGCAGAGAACCAACCCCCCCCCAAAAAAAAAAAUAAACCCACAAAUGAAAACAAAACAACAACCCCCACCCCCAACAACAUCACAGCAAUGGAGUUUUAUGUAGUUCCUUAAUUGUUAGGCUGUGCACAGAGGUGUUUUGCCUUUUACUGAUUCCAGUCCUAAGUGACUUUUCCAGUUCAGGUGACUUUCCAUGUUGGCAAGUGAGGGUCAUGGGAUCAAACAGUUACAUUUUCUGUUGUAGCUCUAUAGUCUAUGCAACUGCUGAAUAUCAUGAUCCUUCCACAGUGAUAGUUCAUUAUCAUGCCGUACAAAAAUGUUGAAACAGUGCGCAAAGUGUGUGUUACACUCAUUGUGCAGAACAGUGGAAUUGUUUUCCGGCAGUAUUUUUAUAGUUCUUAUUAGAGGCAUGUUUCAGUUCAGAUUCUGGAUUGUUGACUGGUGUGGAAGAGAUAAAGCUUUAUAAAUGAAAGUGCUUGUGCAUCAGUCAUCUACAGUUGGGAAUAUUGUUUAUGCUAAACCCCUCUGAAGGAAUAAUGAUUGGAUAAAUGCA